AGAGAUGUCUGGGCCUUGACCAAUGAGAUCUUCAGGAGUACUUCACCAGCUGUUUCGGAUUUUUCUCUGUGGAUGUCCUCAUGGGACUAAGUGGAAAUUGGAAAAGUAUCAUCAAACUCUUCUUGAGAUUCCUUUUUGAUAAGGAAGAUUGCAGAAAAAUUUGUGGCUGAAGAGGAUGCACUGAGAAGAAAGAUAACUGCCCUUAUUCUAAAUCCCAGUCUUCAAUCAAGUACUAAGAUGGUCUGCACUUUGCCUGUGGCGAUUUCCUUAGGUAGCUGGAGAGGAAACCGCGGUGGUGGUGGUGACCCACAGACUGCGCCUGCUGGGAAAAUGCACUGACCAGUCAUCAGCAAAUUCUAGCCCAUUCAGUGGCUGGGCAAUCUUGUUCCACAUUCCACCUGAAUGAUAGUGUUUUUCAGAGGGUUAGCCUGGCAGCCUUGCAAGGAUGGAGUUGGUGAGGAGAGAGACUUGAGGCCCAGAGACCAGUCAGGAGACUGACCUUGUGCUGUAGGUGGCAGAGGAAGAGCAGGUUAGUACUGUGCAGUACUGGAAACUGGCUGACACUCCAUGGUGCUGGCGGAUGCUGCAGCGGGAGCAGGUUCCCUCCAUGCAUUCAGCACAAUGCUGAGCAUACAACUUCAUGAUACUACAUGUCGAAUGAUAAGCUGAAACUUAAACCCAGAUAAAAGAAAUUCAUAUGACACACUUAUCUUUACAGUAUUUUUUUUCAUAAAAAUGAGAUGGGGUCUUGCUUUGUUGCCCAGGCUGGUCUCAAACUCCUGAGCUCAAGCAAUCCUGCCACCUCGGCCUCCCAAAGUUCUGGGAUUACAGACAUGAGCCACCGCACCUGGCUGACAGUAUUUUUAUAAUGGUUGUUGUUACACCAGUCCAGGGUUUCCCCCUCGGUACUGGGUGAUCAAUAAGCUGGCCACAAGCACUAUGCACAGAGCUUAUGAUCUACUCUAACUCAGAACUUUCUCUGACUAAAAGAUGAGCUGGUUUAUGCUGAGGAUCUCUAACAGUGCUCUUCCCAGAUAGCAGACUUUAGUUUACAAAAUAUUCAUCAGUUCUUUUGCUGAAAAGAACUCAACUAAAGAAUUCAAACACUGUAUGGAAUUAAAUAUUAAAGACUAUGUGUUAUAAAAACACUGUAACUA
rnacentral:antisense_RNA from 1 species